rnacentral:lncRNA from 1 species
UUUCGGUGUAUGGAUGUGCCUAGGGCAGUUGCUCAUUUCGGAUUAGAUGCUUGUGUUUCACCAUGUGUAUUACGUGUUUGAUGAAAUGCCUCUUAGAACAAUGAGAAUUGCCUGUGCUUGAUUUAUUCUCUGAUGGAGUAUGUGUCAGUAGGCCGAUACAGAGAAUGUGUUAAGCUAGAAAUUUUUGCAUGUUAAAAUACUUGCACUGAUGGAGUAUGUGUCAGUAGGCCGAUACAGAGAAUGUGUUAAGCUAGAUAAUUUGUGUUAUACAGUGAAUCUACAGGAGGUCCACAGGGGCUCUUAUAAUCAAGGAUUCUAUUUUUAACUAUAUGAUUGCUUAUAUUCACAAGUAUAUUUGUGUUAUGUUUUAGACAAGGCUGAUGCCAUGUUUGGCUGUGGGUUUGGUCCUGAUUUUCAUAGGUUUCUUGACUCUAAUUUUUAAAUUUUGGUGGUACUAAAUUGUAUGGAAGUCCAUUCAUUUAUAUUGUCCUAACUGAUAUGCCAGAGAAAUUGUAAUGGGGGUCUAAUCCGGAUUCAUUACCUUUUAAAACUGAUUUUUUUAAUCCAACAUUUCUGUUAUGCUAGCUCAGAUGGUUUAUUAUAAUGGUUUCUGUGAAUUGCCUAGCUGAUUUCUGUUAUGCAAAAUUUGAGCUUUAUUAUAAUGGUUUGCUGGAGCUUCAUCUUGUUAACAUAAGGGAAACAUAAGAAUAAUUAGGCCUAAAUCUUUCUUAGCAGUUGCUGUGUCGACUCAACUUCGGAUGUAAUCUGAACCUUAUUUUACGGAUUUUACUCUAUUAGAUGAUCUAAUUUGGCGGGUUUGUGCUUAUGGCAGAGAAACCUGAGCCUGUUGAGGAUAAGGAUGCUGAAGGUGGUUCUGUUAACAGAGGUAAGACACCGGAACUGAUUAAGAAAAUUGUGAUUAAUUGCACAGGAGAUAGCUUUGUUGGGUGGCUUUUUAGGAUGUAAUCUGAACCUUAUUUUACGGAUUUUACUCUAUUAGAUGAUCUAAUUUGGCGGGUUUGUGCUUAUGGCAGAGAAACCUGAGCCUGUUGAGGAAAAGGAUGCUGAAGGUGGUUCUGUUAACAGAGGUAAGACACCGGAACUGAUUAAGAAAAUUGUGAUUAAUUGCACAGGAGAUAGCUUUGUUGGGUGGCUUUUUAUCUUGGUUAAUUCAUAUAAAUCUGCGUUGCUGAGUUCAUAUGAUUUAUCAUUAUGUGUCCUGAGUUCAUAUGAUUUUAUGUUGUUGAGGUGCUGCAGAUUUUAUAAAAUUAUAGUUUUAUCUGAUAUUCUGUUCUUUGCCAAGUAGAAUCUUCAUCUGUUGCUAGUUUAGUCAUCAGGAGCACACACUUUUUGACGAACUUCUCAUCCUGGUUUUCUACAAUCUCUCUUGUGUUAUUUAGAUCAUGUUGUGACACUCUAAAUUAUUUACUCUGCUAUUUUGUUCGUUGAUUGCUGUCACAAGGUUCUACAUUAUAGAAAAUUAAUGUUUACUUUUGAAUAUGUCUUAAUUUAUAUAUAUGAUGACCAAACUGUUGGACUGAUAAUCUCACUCUCAACUGGCUAGUUAAAGUUAAACCAAACUCUUGUCAUUAGAGUCCUUGUACUCCUGUAUUCUUUAUAAGUUUCUGGUGUGUACAAAUAUAUAUUUUACAAAGCAUUUGCACUUGGUUUAUUUUUGACCAUUAUUGUCGUAUCAUCUAGUGUUGCACAUACACACUUACCUUUCAUCUUUUACAUGGGGCUGUAUUGUAAUGACUCACUUUUUGUCACUGUAGAUGCCAUUUCAUGCACUAAAACGUGAUACCUGGUCUAUUUGAGCACUCGAAAAAUGCAUCUUAGACUCUGCAGUUUUGUCAAUGUGGACUAACAAAGUUUCCUGUCAAGUUCUUUACUCUGCAGUUCAUUCAAUUUUCUGAAUUUUGGCUAAACUACUAAAUUUGUUCGCAGCC